GACGAACGCUGGCGGCGUGCUUAACACAUGCCAGUCGAACGGAAAGGCCCUGCUUUUGUGGGGUGCUCGAGUGGCGAACGGGUGAGUAACACGUGAGUAACCUGCCCUUGACUUUGGGAUAACUUCAGGAAACUGGGGCUAAUACCGGAUAGGAGCUCCUGCUGCAUGGUGGGGGUUGGAAAGUUUCGGCGGUUGGGGAUGGACUCGCGGCUUAUCAGCUUGUUGGUGGGGUAGUGGCUUACCAAGGCUUUGACGGGUAGCCGGCCUGGGAGGGUGACCGGCCACAUUGGGACUGAGAUACGGCCCAGACGCCUACGGGAGGCAGCAGUGGGGAAUAUUGCACAAUGGGCGGAAGCCUGAUGCAGCAACGCCGCGUGCGGGAUGACGGCCUUCGGGUUGUAAACCGCUUUCGCCUGUGACGAAGCGUGAGUGACGGUAAUGGGUAAAGAAGCACCGGCUAACUACGUG
rnacentral:rRNA from 1 species